GGCUCUCUGUAACAUAAAAAUAGGGAGUCCGGCCUGCUCAAUGAUAAUUAUUAAAUAGCCGCAGUAACCUGACUGCGUAAAAGUAGCAUAAUCAUUUGCCUUUUAAUUGAUGGCUGGUAUGAAUGGCAAGAUGAGAGCGAUACUGUCUCCUUUACUACUCUAUUGAAACUACCUAUUAGGUGAAAAGGCCUAAAUAAUUUUAUAAGACAAAAAGACCCUAUCGAGCUUCAUAGUCUAAAUAUCCACAUCCCAUAUUAAUACUAUUUGGUUGGGGCAACCAGUGGGCAAAAAAAAUCCCUCUUUAUUUCAACUCUUUAAGAUAUGACCCGUACUAACGAUUUUAAAGAAAAGCUACCGUAGGGAUAACAGCGUAAUUUUCUUUGUGAGCUCUUAUUAAAAAGAAAGUUUGCGACCUCGAUGUUGGAUUAGGGUAUCCCAGGGGUGCAGAAGCUCCUAAAGGUUGGUUUGUUCAACCAUUAAAACCCUACAU
rnacentral:rRNA from 1 species